UAUAUUUUAGUGUAAGAUGCACGAAAGGGUUUGAUACUUUAAGUAAUAGUUUGAUUCUAUUAAAUAUAG
rnacentral:tRNA from 1 species